GAGGAUGCUUGCUUAGGAAAAAAAGUUGAACCAAUACAGAGACGAUUAGCAUGGCCCUUGCACCAGGGUGACAUGCAAAUUUAUGAAGCAUUCCAUAUUUUA
ensembl:snRNA U6 U6 spliceosomal RNA